rnacentral:rRNA from 1 species
GGACGAACGCUGGCGGCGUGCAUAACGCAUGCAAGUCGAGCGGGGAUGGUAGCUGAAGGUGAUGAGCUGGAAGCUGCCAUCUUAGCGGCGGACGGGUGAGUAACACGUGAGCAACCUACCCUCAGCACGGGGAUAACAGCUCGAAAGGGCUGCUAAUACCCGAUGGGACCACGUCAUUGCAUGGUGAUGUGGUGAAAGGGUGGACGUAAGGUCCAUACCGGCUGGGGAUGGGCUCGCGGCCCAUCAGCUAGUUGGUGGGGUAACGGCCUACCAAGGCGACGACGGGUAGCCGGCCUGAGAGGGUGACCGGCCACAGUGGGACUGAGACACGGCCCACACUCCUACGGGAGGCAGCAGCGGGGAAUCUUGCGCAAUGGGCGGAAGCCUGACGCAGCGACGCCGCGUGAGGGAAGGAGCCCUUCGGGGUGUAAACCUCUUUGGACGGGGAGAAGUAGGAGAUAGUACCCGUUUAAAAAGCCACGGCUAACUACGUGCCAGCAGCCCGCGGUAAUACGUAGGUGGCGAGCGUUGUCCGGAAUUACUGGGCGUAAAGGGUGCGUAGGCGGCCUGGUAAGUUGAGCGUGAAAUUUUUGGGCUCAACCCAAAAGGAGCGUUCAAGACUGCCAGGCUUGAGUGCGGGAGAGGACGGCGGAAUUCCCGGCGUAGCGGUGAAAUGCGUAGAUAUCGGGAGGAACACCAGUGGCGAAGGCGGCCGUCUGGACCGUAACUGACGCUGAGGCACGAAAGCGUGGGGAGCAAACAGGAUUAGAUACCCUGGUAGUCCACGCUGUAAACGAUGGAUGCUAGGUGUGGGGGAGAAAGUACUUCUUCCGGUGCCCGUUAGGUUUACCACAAAUAAAGCCAUUCCCGCCCUGGGGAGUACCGGCCCGCCAAGGGUUGAAAACUUCAAAAGGGAAUUGACCGGGGGGCCCGCACCAAAGGCGGUGUGGAGGCAUUGGUGGGUUUUAUUUCGAAAGCAAACGGCGAAAGAAACCCUAACCCAGGGGCUUUGAACAUGCCCGGGGGACCCUGGCCCGAAAAGGGGUGGGGGUGGCCCUGACCCGAUGAAGGGUUUAGGGAACCCCGAAACACAGGUUGGUUGCAUGGGUUGGUCGUCAGCUCGUGUCGUGGAGGAUGUUUGGGGUUAAGUCCCCGCCAACGAGCGCAAACCCCCUGCCCCUUAGUUGCCCAGCGGGCAGGAGCCCGGGCACUUUUAAGGGGGACUGCCCGCCGGAUGAGGGCGGAAGAAAGGGUGGGGAAGGACGCCAAAUUCAUCCAUGCCCCCUUAUGCCCCUGGGGCUACCCCACGUGCUACCAAUGGGGUGCUCCGGAGGCCAGCGAAAGGCGCGGAGCCGGAAGCGAAUCCCCAAAAAACCCCCCCCCAUUUCGGAUUGCGGGCUGCAACUCGCCUGCAGAAUUGGAAUCGUAGUAUCGCGGAUCAGCUGCCGCGGUAAUAGUUCCGGCCUGUACCACCGCCCGUCACCCUAGAUUCGCACGCCUAAGACCCGGGCUUCUGUGUUAAAGGUGGGCUAUGAUUGAGUAA